GAAGCAACGUGAAGAACCUUACCAGGUCUAGACAUCCCUCUGACCGGUCUAGAGAUAGGCCUUUCCUUCGGGACAGAGGAGACAGGUGGUGCAUGGUUGUCGUCAGCUCGGUCGUGAGAUGUUGGGUUAAGUCCCGCAACGAGCGCAACCCUUAUGCUUAGUUGCCAGCAGGUCAAGCUGGGCACUUUAAGCAGACUGCCGGUGACAAACCGGAGGAAGGUGGGGAUGACGUCAAAUCAUCAUGCCCCUUAUGACCUGGGCUACACACGUACUACAAUGGCCGGUACAACGGGAAGCGAAAUCGCGAGGUGGAGCCAAUCCUAGAAAAGCCGGUCUCAGUUCGGAUUGUAGGCUGCAACUCGCCUACAUGAAGUUGGAAUUGCUAGUAAUCGCGGAUCAGCAUGCCGCGGUGAAUACGUUCCCGGGUCUUGUACACACCGCCCGUCACACCACGAGAGUUUACAACACCCGAAGUCGGUGGGGUAACCCGCAAGGGAGCCAGCCGCCGAAGGUGGGGUAGAUGAU
rnacentral:rRNA from 1 species